rnacentral:rRNA from 1 species
AUUGAACGCUGGCGGCAGGCUUAACACAUGCAAGUCGAGCGGGGGAAGGUAGCUUGCUACCGGACCUAGCGGCGGACGGGUGAGUAAUGCUUAGGAAUCUGCCUAUUAGUGGGGGACAACAUCUCGAAAGGGAUGCUAAUACCGCAUACGUCCUACGGGAGAAAGCAGGGGAUCUUCGGACCUUGCGCUAAUAGAUGAGCCUAAGUCGGAUUAGCUAGUUGGUGGGGUAAAGGCCUACCAAGGCGACGAUCUGUAGCGGGUCUGAGAGGAGGAUCCGCCACACUGGGACUGAGACGCGGCCCAGACUCGUACGUGAGGCAGGAGUGGGGAAUAUUGGACAAUGGGCGGAAGCCUGAUCCAGCCAUGCCGCGUGUGUGAAGAAGGCCUUUUGGUUGUAAAGCACUUUAAGCGAGGAGGAGGCUACUAGUAUUAAUACUACUGGAUAGUGGACGUUACUCGCAGAAUAAGCACCUGCUAACUCUGUGCCAGCAGCCGCCGCCGUAA